rnacentral:rRNA from 1 species
CAGUCGCCGCGGGAAUACGGAGGGGGCUAGCGUUGUUCGGAAUUACUGGGCGUAAAGCGCGCGUAGGCGGCUUCUUAAGUCGGAUGUGAAAUCCCUGAGCUUAACUUAGGAAUUGCAUUCGAUACUGGGAAGCUAGAGUAUGGGAGAGGAUGGUAGAAUUCCAGGUGUAGCGGUGAAAUGCGUAGAGAUCUGGAGGAAUACCGAUGGCGAAGGCAGCCAUCUGGCCUAAUACUGACGCUGAGGUACGAAAGCAUGGGGAGCAAACAGGAUUAGAGACCCCUGUAGUCCCUGUCUCUUAUAC